GAGUUUGAUCGUGGCUCAGAUUGAACGCUGGCGGCAUGCCUUACACAUGCAAGUCGAACGGCAGCAUGAUCUAGCUUGCUAGAUUGAUGGCGAGUGGCGAACGGGUGAGUAAUACAUCGGAACGUGCCCUGUAGUGGGGAUAGCUAGUCGAAAGAUUAGCUAAUACCGCAUACGACCUGAGGGUGAAAGUGGGGGACCGCAAGGCCUCAUGCUAUAGGAGCGGCCGAUGUCUGAUUAGCUAGUUGGUGGGGUAAAGGCCCACCAAGGCGACGAUCAGUAGCUGGUCUGAGAGGACGAUCAGCCACACUGGGACUGAGACACGGCCCAGACUCCUACGGGAGGCAGCAGUGGGGAAUUUUGGACAAUUGGCGAAAGCCUGAUCCAGCAAUGCCGCGUGUGUGAAGAAGGCCUUCGGUUGUAAGU
rnacentral:rRNA from 1 species